ACAUGCAAGUCGAGGGGAACGACAUCGAAAGCUUGCUUUUGAUGGGCGUCGACCGGCGCACGGGUGAGUAACGCGUAUCCAACCUGCCCACCACUUGGGGAUAACCUUGCGAAAGUAAGACUAAUACCCAAUGAUAUCUCUAGAAGACAUCUGAAGGAGAUUAAAGAUUUAUCGGUGAUGGAUGGGGAUGCGUCUGAUUAGCUUGUUGGCGGGGUAACGGCCCACCAAGGCGACGAUCAGUAGGGGUUCUGAGAGGAAGGUCCCCCACAUUGGAACUGAGACACGGUCCAAACUCCUACGGGAGGCAGCAGUGAGGAAUAUUGGUCAAUGGACGAGAGUCUGAACCAGCCAAGUAGCGUGCAGGAUGACGGCCCUAUGGGUUGUAAACUGCUUUUAUAAGGGAAUAAAGUGAGUCUCGUGAGACUUUUUGCAUGUACCUUAUGAAUAAGGACCGGCUAAUUCCGUGCCAGCAGCCGCGGUAAUACGGAAGGUCCGGGCGUUAUCCGGAUUUAUUGGGUUUAAAGGGAGCGUAGGCCGGAGAUUAAGCGUGUUGUGAAAUGUAGAUGCUCAACAUCUGCACUGCAGCGCGAACUGGUUUCCUUGAGUACGCACAAAGUGGGCGGAAUUCGUGGUGUAGCGGUGAAAUGCUUAGAUAUCACGAAGAACUCCGAUUGCGAAGGCAGCUCACUGGAGCGCAACUGACGCUGAAGCUCGAAAGUGCGGGUAUCGAACAGGAUUAGAUACCCUGGUAGUCCGCACGGUAAACGAUGGAUGCCCGCUGUUGGUCUGAAUAGGUCAGCGGCCAAGCGAAAGCAUUAAGCAUCCCACCUGGGGAGUACGCCGGCAACGGUGAAACUCAAAGGAAUUGACGGGGGCCCGCAC
rnacentral:rRNA from 1 species